CCUACGGGAGUCUGCAGUGGGGAAUAUUGCACAAUGGGGGAAACCCUGAUGCAGCGACGCCGCGUGAGUGAAGAAGUAUUUCGGUAUGUAAAGCUCUAUCAGCAGGGAAGAAAAUGACGGUACCUGAUUAAGAAGCCCCGGCUAACUACGUGCCAGCAGCCGCGGUAAUACGUAGGGGGCAAGCGUUAUCCGGAUUUACUGGGUGUAAAGGGAGCGUAGACGGCAGUACAAGUCUGGAGUGAAAUGCCGGGGCUUAACCCCGGGACUGCUUUGGAAACUGUGCAGCUGGAGUGCAGGAGAGGUAAGUGGAAUUCCUAGUGUAGCGGUGAAAUGCGUAGAUAUUAGGAGGAACACCAGUGGCGAAGGCGGCUUACUGGACUGUAACUGACGUUGAGGCUCGAAAGCGUGGGGAGCAAACAGGAUUAGAUACCCCAGUAGUC
rnacentral:rRNA from 1 species